rnacentral:lncRNA from 1 species
UACUUUUCAAUAGAACACUGCCAAAACAAGUAGCUUUGUAAGUUUUCUAGCUGAAUCCAGAGGUACAGAGAACAUCUGUUGAAGAAACAGCACAUCACUGAGAGGAGGAGGUGGCACAACAUGGAGUGGCCGCAGGCUGGUGGGUGAGGAUGGAGUGAACUUAACCACGACAGCCAUCAAACUCUAUCACUACAUAAGAGGGUCUUCAUCUGCCACAGAACACAUCUGUAACUCUAGCCUCAGGUUCAGGCAGAUGCAUCACAAAUUCGGAGACCAGUCUGGGCUGUGCCAAACCCUGCUUCUAAAACCAGACAAAAAUAUGUAUGUACCAUUAUUGUGAAGAGGUUCUUAGAAAAAAGCAAUAGUAGAACAGACAUUAUUCUUUAUAAAUAAAUGGCUCCUUUGUGUCAGUAUUCACAUUAGAAAAAUAUUGCCUGAAAUUGACUUUCUGUGGAUAAAAUCCAUACAAAGUUCUGCCCAGCAUGGUGGGACAUCCCUGACACACUACCACUCUGUAGCUAGAGGCAGGAAGACUGGGAGUUCAAGGCCAGUCUGGGCUACAUGGGACCAGGCCUCAAAAACCAACACCCACAUACACUCAUUCAUACACACGCACAUACACACACAUAUACACACAUUCAUUCUCUG